rnacentral:rRNA from 1 species
AGUGAACGCUGGCGGUAGGCCUAACACAUGCAAGUCGAACGGCAGCACAGUAAGAGCUUGCUCUUACGGGUGGCGAGUGGCGGACGGGUGAGGAAUACAUCGGAAUCUACUUUUUCGUGGGGGAUAACGUAGGGAAACUUACGCUAAUACCGCAUACGACCUACGGGUGAAAGCAGGGGAUCUUCGGACCUUUCGCGAUUGAAUGAGCCGAUGUCGGAUUAGCUAGUUGGCGGGGUAAGGGCCCACCAAGGCGACGAUCCGUAGCUGGUCUGAGAGGAUGAUCAGCCACACUGGAACUGAGACACGGCCCAGACUCCUACGGGAGGCAGCAGUGGGGAAUAUUGGACAAAGGGCGCAAGCCUGAUCCAGCCAUACCGCGUGGGUGAAGAAGGCCUUCGGGUUGUAAAGCCCUUUUGUUGGGAAAGAAAAGCAGCAGGUUAAUACCCCGCUGUUCUGACGGUACCCAAAGAAUAAGCACCGGCUAACUUCGUG